rnacentral:rRNA from 1 species
GUCUCAGUUCGGAUUGGAGUCUGCAACCCGACUCCAUGAAGCUGGAUUCGCUAGUAAUCGCGCAUCAGCCACGGCGCGGUGAAUACGUUCCCGGGCCUUGUACACACCGCCCGUCAAGCCAUGGAAGCCGGGAGUGCCUGAAGUGCGUGAGCGCAAGCAGCGCCCUAAGGUAAAACCGGUGACUGGGGCUAAGUCGUAACAAGGUACC